AACGAACGCUGGCGGCAUGCCUAACACAUGCAAGUCGAACGAGACCUUCGGGUCUAGUGGCGCACGGGUGCGUAACGCGUGGGAACCUGCCCUUAGGUUCGGAAUAACUCCCCGAAAGGGGUGCUAAUACCGGAUAAUGUCUUCGGACCAAAGAUUUAUCGCCUUUGGAUGGGCCCGCGUUGCAUUAGCUAGUUGGUAGGGUAAAAGCCUACCAAGGCGACGAUCCAUAGCUGGUCUGAGAGGCUGAUCAGCCACACUGGGACUGAGACACGGCCCAGACUCCUACGCGAGGCAGCAGUGGGGAAUAGUGGACAACGGGCGAAAGCCUGAUCCAGCACUGCCGCGUGAGUGCUGAAGGCCUUAGGGUUGUAAAGCUCUUUUACCCGGGAUGAUAAUGACAGUACCGGGAGAAUAAGCCCCGGCUAACUCCGUG
rnacentral:rRNA from 1 species